AAAAACCACUCAAGCUCUUUUGCUUGGUCAUGGAAGAAGAGUCCGCUUGCCGGUCUCCCUUUCGAAAUGCAAUGGCGGAAGGUCUCUUGUACCCAGCGUAGUAAUAACUUUUCGCUUUGUGCAUUGAUUCAUUCCUGCCGUCAAACCCCCAAUUUUCUUAGGUUGACCUCGGAUCAGGUAGGGAUACCCGCUGAACUUAA
rnacentral:misc_RNA from 1 species